rnacentral:lncRNA from 1 species
CUGCGUGCGCCCCCAGCCUGGCUCUGCCCUGGCUGGAUCUGCUGCAGGACCAGCUUUGGGAAAAACUGUCAAGGGGAAAAUCGUGAUCUUUCCCACCUCCUGGCCCUCCUGGGGGUUAUCAGAUCUGCAAAGGGCAAGCCCCCGAGCGAAGGGGGUGGGUGCAGGACAGUAAUAAAAUGGAAGCAGAAAGGAAAGCAAAGAAAGCUGUGGACUCAGUCUGGAACUGGGCUGCUCCUGCAAUUAGAAGGACCUUGAGUAUGUCAUCCCUUGUCUCUGGACAUCAGCUUCCACAUCUUUCAAAGGAGAAGACCUCGGUCCUCCAAAGAGGGCCUGUAACAGAAGACAGAGUGGGAACCAAAAGGUCAGGGCUAGAUGGUGAACUGACAGAGGCUGCUGCUCCUCUCCCUGACCCCAGGCCUGCAGAUGCCAAGGAGGCCAGAAGAAGGAAGGAAAGAAGGCGGCAGAUACAAGUGAGCUUCUCAGGUCUGGCUCUUCUGAUGCUUCUGACGGGCUCUGGGACCCCAUGGGGGGCCCUCUGUGCCUCAGAAUCCUCAUCCAUGCCAUGGGAGGGGCGCCUGCCCCAGCCUACCCCACAGCUGAGCCCAUUUGACGUUCUCUCUCCUUCCCCCACGGGAGACCUCUCAGACCCUCCAGUAGGAGAAAACUCGAAGCACUGAAGGGCGCAAGAGCUGGGAGCCGAAGAUGAGGUACCAUCUUUCCUCCCCAACUCUCAAGAAUCUACCAGAGAAAUGACUGGCAAGGAGGUUCCCCAAUGUGGAGGGCCCCUCUCUCUAGCAGGAUGGCAAGUUUCUAACAGAGGCAGGAGAUUUGCCAACACUGAAGUCACUGGAUAACUAUUGAAGAUGAUAUCAAAGCUGAUCGGCAUACAGAGGACCAACCUGGACAACACGACUGUGGGCUUCACAUUUCCAUGAAUUAAUUUAAGCAAAAUAAAAGGGAUAGAUGUUUCUUGUUCUCUUUGUGG